GACGAACGCUGGCGGCGUGCUUAACACAUGCAAGUCGAACGGAAAGGCCCUGCUUUUGUGGGGUGCUCGAGUGGCGAACGGGUGAGUAACACGUGAGUAACCUGCCCUUGACUUUGGGAUAACUUCAGGAAACUGGGGCUAAUACCGGAUAGGAGCUCCUGCUGCAUGGUGGGGGUUGGAAAGUUUCGGCGGUUGGGGAUGGACUCGCGGCUUAUCAGCUUGUUGGCGGGGUAGUGGCUUACCAAGGCUUUGACGGGUAGCCGGCCUGCGAGGGUGACCGGCCACAUUGGGACUGAGAUACGGCCCAGACUCCUACGGGAGGCAGCAGUGGGGAAUAUUGCACAAUGGGCGGAAGCCUGAUGCAGCAACGCCGCGUGCGGGAUGACGGCCUUCGGGUUGUAAACCGCUUUCGCCUGUGACGAAGCGUGAGUGACGGUAAUGGGUAAAGAAGCACCGGCUAACUACGUG
rnacentral:rRNA from 1 species